UACAGAGGUCCCGAGCGUUGUUCGGAUUUACUGGGCGUAAAGGGUGCGUAGGUGGCGAAUUAAGUCGGGUGUGAAAUCUCCGGGCUCAACCCGGAGACUGCGCCCGAUACUGGUUUGCUCGAGGAUGGGAGGGGAGACUGGAAUUCUCGGUGUAGCAGUGAAAUGCGUAGAUAUCGAGAGGAACACCGGUGGCGAAGGCGAGUCUCUGGACCAUUCCUGACACUGAGGCACGAAAGCCGGGGGAGCAAACAGG
rnacentral:rRNA from 1 species